GAUGAACGCUGGCGGCGUGCCUAACACAUGCAAGUCGAGCGAACGGACGAGAAGUUUGCUUCUCUGAUGUUAGCGGCGGACGGGUGAGUAACACGUGUAUACCCUACCUAUAAGACUGGGAUAACUUCGGGAAUCCGGCUCUAACACCGGAUGAUAUUUUGAACCGCAUGGUUCAAAAGUGAAAGACGGUCUUGCUGUCACUAAUAGAUGGUUCCGGGCUGGAUUAGCUAGUUGGUAGGGUAACGGCUUACCAAGGCUACGAUGCGUAGCCGACCUGAGAGGGUGAUCGGCCACACUGGAACUGAGACACGGUCCAGACUCCUACGGGAGGCAGCAGUAGGGAAUCUUCCGCAAUGGGCGAAAGCCUGACGGAGCAACGCCGCGUGUGUGAUGAAGGUCUUCGGAUCGUAAAGCUCUGUUAUUAGGGAAGAACAUAUGUGUACGUAACUGUGGACGUCUUGACGGUACCUAAUCAAAAAGCCACGGCUAACUACGUG
rnacentral:rRNA from 1 species